UUAAGGAUUCAUAAUUAUUGGUGUGGGACAUGCGGCACUUUUUCCCUCCAGGUGCUGAGCAUGUUACUAUCACCUCCGCCACCCAGUGCCCCAGCAGCCAAAGGGAAAAAGGCCAGAAAUGGGACAUGGACUUUGUUCUCUCACUUACAGUGGGCCAGUACUGCUGCAGGAAAAUCUGCCUUUGAAGGGACAAUUCUGUACAGAGUGGCACCGGCAAAGAUUGACAGCUACAGACGCUAUAACACUGAGGAACAAGGCAGAUUCAAUGCCUGGUUUGACAAACAUUUGCCUCUCUUUCCAUACACAUGGACCCACAAUGCUGUCAGUAAUAGAUAUUAGAUAUAACGGAAGAAGAUGAGACAGGAUCGUUGAAACAGAAGUAUUCGUGAGUAAAUCUUAAUUGUGUUUUCUAUUGCUCGACUACUUUUGUUUUUUUCUUACCUCUUGAGGAACGGUGGC